CAGGAUCAUGUCCGGGAACUGCGGUGUGGUGGCGAUCUGUGUUACCCAUCCAUUAUGGCCCUUAAGGGUCCCACGAAGGGUCAUCUGUUCGGUCAUGGCUGCAGCUGAUGCGAGUGUCGCCGCAGCGACAAGGAUGGCACCGGAUAGCUCAGAGAGCCAAGCACCGCAGCGGCUGCCACCACGACCCUGCGGAGGAAAAGAAAGAGCGACCUCCGCCGGAAACGGAAAUACUCGGAGAGCAAGGCGGGGAUUCCCAUGGUUCACUGCUCCUCAAAGAUGGCUGCACUAAGAAGUGGGAGGAACUGGGGAAGUAGGUCUCUAGUAUCGUCGUUUCUUCCGCCAUACAACAUAGUUUGGCAGCGCUGUACAAAUGCAUUCUGAAGCCAGAUGCACCAGGUUUUUAGAAAGGCUUCUCGGAAGAUUAAAACAUGCCGUAGAAGCAGAAGUGAGACUGACUGCACACGACCAAACUACAGCGGCCCCUCUGCCCCUACGUGGCAGAGACGGAGCUUCCGCUUCACGUUCGGAUCCUCGGUUGGAGACACCGCCUGCAACUUUGACUUACGGAAGUACAAUUAAAAUUGCAGUUAGGGGCGUGUGCCACCAGAUCUGGCCUUUUUGCUUUUGUUUGUUUGUUUGUUUUGGUUUUUCGAGACAGGGUUUCUCUGUAUAGCCCUGGCUGUCCUGGAACUCACUCUGUAGACCAGGCUGGCCUCGAACUCAGAAAUCCACCUGCCUCUGCCUCCCAAGUGCUGGGAUUAAAGGCGUGCGCCACCACGCCCGGCUUUGUUUGUUUGUUUUAAGGCAAAGUUUCAUGUAGUGAAGGCUAAUCUUAAACUGGCUGUGUUGCCAAGGAUGGUUUUGAACUACUGAUCUGCUUCUGUCUCCCAAGUACUGGGAUUAUAAACCGAGCCGCCGCCGGGCGAGGCUAUAAAGGGACGAAGUGCUGGGUUCAGAUUUCUGGGGAUUCUGUUAGAAGCUCUUUCUGUGCUUCCGAUCACACCUCAGAAAAGCCUGCUAGUCUGUCUUGUGUAUCCCUGAAAGAAGUGUUCCGGGACGAGGAAGCAGAGGAAAACUGAUAACCUGGCAACCUGAUGACGUUCCCCUCAACACUUGUUCAAAUUAUGUCGUGUUUCCACAGAUCUCGCCUUAAAAAAAUUUAACUGUAUGUUUUAAAAUAUUUAUGUGUGAGUGCGCUUCUGAUUGCCACAGUGCACUGGUUGAAGUCAGGAAUUUUCUCUCCUGCCAUGUGUGUUUGGCUACAGCCGACUUGUUCAGCUUCGAUAUUUUUUUUUUAAAAGGAGCACAAGUCAGGAAGGUGACAUUUUGUACUGUCUGGAGACAUUUGAUGCUGUCACAACUGGUGGAGAGGGCCAGUGUCACCGCUCUUUACUGGAAUCGGACAACACAAAGAACAGCCACUCAACCCCAAAGAAUUACCUUGCUCAAAGUAUCACUCCUGAGCUUAGGAAAGUUUAAUCUAGUCAAAGCAGGGACCAGGUCUCCCUGUCUGUGGGGUCCAGGCUCAGUCACAUAAGAUGUAAGGCUAGCAAGUGGCUGAUAGGUUGGGAUGGAAACAAUACAGAGUCAGUGGGCUCUAUGGCACUGCAGGGUCGCUCUAGCUGUAGUGUCUUUAAAUGUUGCAGAAGUCUUAGAGCUGAGUCAAUGACGCAAAUGGAGUUGAGAGUUUUAGAUGUUCGGAAAGUCUGUGUGAAGGUGGGGCCCGUGGUGCAGCCACAGUGGAGAGGAGCAAGCCUAAACAGUUUGUCAGGUGAUUCUGCAGCCAACAGCUGAACCCAGAAAGGAAGACAUUCAGUGAAAUAAGUACCUGACACGACACACAUGAUUAGUACCAUCCCCUACCCCCGAGUUUCAGUAAUAAGCACUGCUAUUAUAAUAUACAUAGAAGAAUCCAA